AUGAUUGAGAUUUGGGGUCAAGGGUUGACUUUUGGGUCAGUGGUUGACUUUGGGGUCAUUGGUCAAGAUUUGGGGUCAAAGGUUCAGAUUUGGGGUCACUGGUCAAGAUUUGAGGACCCCGCCAAGGGCGUCGAUACCUUGAGCACCAGCCCAACCAGCACCAGCACUUUUGGCACAGAAAUAGGUGUUGGAAUCCUCCUCCCUGAGGUUGUUCAUCUGCAGCGUCACCGAGCUCUGCCCGUUGUCCCUGGUGAUGGUGAACCGGCCCUGCACCGACGCCGGAGGGCCGUGACCCUGGUGGAGUCCGGGGGUGACCUCAAGGCCCCGGGGGAGUCCCUGCGGCUCCUCUGCCGCGCCUCCGGCUUCACCUUCGGGGACUACACCAUGUACUGGGUGCGCCAGAGCCCCGGGAAGGGGCUGGAGUGGGUCGCUGGGAUCGAUGAUGAUGGUGGUAGGACCAGAUACGCGCCGUCGGUGCAGGGCCGGUUCACCAUCACCAGGGACAACGGGCAGAGCUCGGUGACGCUGCAGAUGAACAACCUCAGGGAGGAGGAUUCCAACACCUAUUUCUGCGCCAAACGUUACAAUGUUGGAAAUGAUUGUGAUGAAGUUUAUGCUGAUGAUAUCGAUGCCAUUGGCGGG